UCGGCAGUUUAUUCAUUCCAUCUUCAUUAUUUCUGCAGCUGGAUUUCUCCACUUUUCGUUUUCCCACUUCACCUUUCUACUACCACCGAAGAGGAAUUUAUUGAUCGUCAACCCUAAAAUCAUCCUCAUACAAAUGGGCCAACAACAAUCGAAGGAUGAGUUACUGUACCAGCAAGUCAAUUAUUGUAACAUCGAGGGAAUUAAAGCUCUCCAUAGAGAUGGCUCUGGACUGGAGUGGGUUGAUAGAGAUGGGAAAACACCUCUGAUUGCCGCUUGCCUGAAUUCAGAACUGUACAGUGUUGCUAAGACUUUGAUUGAAUUAGGUGCUAAUGUCAAUGCAUAUCGUCCAGGACUUCAUGCAGGGACUCCAUUGCAUCAUGCUGCUAAAAGAGGCCUUGAACAGACUGUUAAGUUACUUCUUUCUCACGGUGCAAAUGCAUUAAUAAUGAAUGAUGGUUGUCAAACUCCCCUUGAUGUUGCUAGAGCCAAAGGGCAUAACAAUGUUGUUCGUGCAAUUGAGAAUCAUAUCUGCCUUUUUGCUGGUUGGUUGAGGGAGAUUUAUGGUCCUGGCUUCCUUGAAGCAUUUGUGCCACAACUUCUUUCAAGGAAAGUUUGGGUUGUUGUCUUACCAAAUGGCUCUUCCCGCGAUCUUUCAAAGCCUUUCAAGUUGGAGCUUGCUAUGUACUCCACUGUGCAGGAUGCCCAGCCUCGAACUCGUAUUCCACUGUGGAAAGCCAAUUUAGAAGAGCCAAAUUUUAGCGUCGCCGAUCCCACAGUGAUAAUUGUUGAUAUCUCCAACAAAACACGCAUUAAACUUGGAUCUGCAAAUGUAAGCGACAAACACCAAUUGCAGAUGUUCUGCAAUGCAUGCAAGGGCAUUCCCCAGGUAAUUCAUUCUACCCUCCCAAUCAUUGCUCAAAUGCCGAUUGCUCCUCCAGCAGCAGUACCUGAAGAAGAAGAUAAGGAGUUAGCUAUGGCAAUUCGUGCUUCCUUACAAUCUGCAAUGGAAGUAGGACCAGCUCAUACCAAUACCUCCAAUGCAUCUUCAAGUAAUAAUUACAAUGGUUGGGAUACUUCAACAAAUCCUUCUUCAGAAACCUUACAAUCUGCAAUGGAAGUAGGACCAGCUCAUACCAAUACCUCCAAUGCAUCUUCCAGUAAUAAUUACAAUGGUUGGGAUACUUCAACAAAUCCUUCUUCAGAAGCCAGCAAUGGGUGGGAGAUUGAGGAAGCUAGCACAAGCAACAACAAAAGGCCGUCUAAAAAUGCCCAUAACGCCCCCUCAGAUCUAAUCUUCAGUACGGCUAUAACUGCUGUUCCAUCUGCCCCGCCAAUUGAACAAGCUGUCAUAGAGGAUGGUCCUAUUCACUAUCCUUCAAUUGAUAUCGGCCCUCUUGAUUUAUCUUCACCUACAAUAGAGGAUGUGCCAACUAAAACUAAGAAAAAAGAAGAUACUAAUUUCUCUUCAUCUUGUGUUAUUUGUUUGGAUGCCCCAACUGAGGGUGCUUGCAUUCCAUGUGGUCACAUGGCUGGAUGCAUGUCUUGUUUAAACGAGAUUAAAGCAAAGAAUUGGGGCUGCCCUGUUUGUCGUGCCGAUAUUGUCCAGGUUGUGAGGCUUUAUGCUGUAUGAUACCAUGUGAUUUUGAUGAAAUCCAAGGAGUUGGGCUAGCUGUUGCAAUGAAAGAAAUUUGUGGUCAUUUAAUAAUCAUAUGUGUUGUUGGCCCCAAUUUCUUCACCAAUUGGCAGCUUUUAAUCAAUUUGAGGGUCCCUUAAUUUGCCAAUUUAGCUACAAAUCUGAGGAAGGCUGGGAUUUGCUUAUGUCAUUUCUUUGUUUUUAUUGUAUUUGGAAAUGCUGGUCCCAAUGCUUAUACUGAAAAUGUUGGUCCCAAGUAAGUUUUCUCUUUUUUAAUAACUAUGGAUAAAGAGAAUAUAGCUAUUUAUUUCAAAUUCAACAAUAAGGCCUUCUAAAAGGGUUUAUUUAA